UACAGAGGGUGCGAGCGUUAAUCGGAAUUACUGGGCGUAAAGCGCGCGUAGGCGGCUUUGCAAGUCGGAUGUGAAAUCCCCAGGCUUAACCUGGGAACUGCAUUCGAGACUGCAUUGCUAGAGUAUGGGAGAGGGAAGUGGAAUUUCCGGUGUAGCGGUGAAAUGCGUAGAUAUCGGAAGGAACAUCAGUGGCGAAAGCGACUUCCUGGACCAAUACUGACGCUCAUGUGCGAAAGCGUGGGGAGCCAACAGG
rnacentral:rRNA from 1 species